ACCUGCUUGGUUAUUUUUUGAGAAACUGUUACUACUUUGUUAUAUUUUUCUCACCUGUUAAAAAUUUGUUUAAACAUAUAAAUUUAUUUUCUAUUGUGUAUAUGAUAAUUUCAAUAUCUAUGGUCUUUAGAUGUCUGAUUAUGCCAUUUUUUGUUUUUUUUUUUCUUACUUUUACUCAGGGUAUUUUGUCUCAUAUGUGUUGUAAUUUUUGUUUAUCAAUUAAUGUUUCUUGGAAUUUUUUUUUACAUCUGGGUUUAAAAUGUCUUUAAUGGGGUGUGUGUAUAUGCUUGUGCUUGGUGCCUAUAGACACUACUAAUCUGGGACAACUUUAAAAUAAAUUUCCAGUCAUUUUCAGAAAUGUUCUCAAACAUGAGUAAGUAUAGUGUUGUAGUUGACCAUUCUCAGGAGAGACAUUUUCAUUUUACUAUUUAGCAAAAAUCCAAAGCCAAGACUGGCAAUUACCCCCUCUGUCUUCUGUAAUGGGAUAGAUUUUCCCUAAUUCAACCUUCAGGGGCCUAAACUUUAAGUGAUGCUCUCUGGUGUGACCUUACAGGCUUUGUCUUCUGCCUGCCAUGUGCUUGGCCCAUUAAGUCCAGGCAAUGGGCCACCAGGGAUUGGCAGAGACCUCUGGGGAAAUUACACCGACUCUCCUCCCUGGAUUUAGCUAUGUUAUGGAUGGUGUCCUUGCACAAACUGGACUUUGUUGUUCAAAGUAGAGUGAUAGUAGAAACUUCUAACCUGAGAAUCUUUAUUAUCAUUUGAAUAUCAAAUGAUUCCUUUUUCUCUACAUUUUGGGGAAAAUUUGCCUUAUAUUUGGACAUCUAGGGUAACUUGUUACCACUGGCUUCUUCAUUUAGUUUUCUUCAGUAUAUACCAGACAUAGUGUAUAUGAAAAAAUAGCAAAAGUAUUUGUCUUAGUAAUGUAUUACUUUCACUGUACCUUCCAUUUCAUUUGCAAACCCAAAUGUUGGCUGGGGAAGGCAGUGACCACUACAAUCUCCCCUCAUCAAACACACACACACACGUGCACGCACACACACACACACACAUACACACACACCGUCAAACCCACUCUCUCAGCCACUAAAAAUAAACAUAAAUCCAAUUAAAAACCAUGUGCUUGCUCUGCAAACACAGCUUCAUGAUAAAUCUCUUGGCCUCCCCUUUCAACCAGAUUGUCAUCCCUAAAUAUCCUCAGUCUUCCUUUAUACAAAUUUUGGAGCCUACACAGUUUUUUUUUUCUGUUUCUGCCUUUAAAUUCUCCAAAAUCUUGGUUGUUGGAUUGCCCUCCACUAUUGAUUUUGGAUCAGUUAUUUUUGCUUCCAUGGAAUCUUAAAUCACUGUUCUCUUACAUCCACAAACAUGAGAAUUUUCUUUCAGAUUUUCAGUUCUUUUAGAGCAGUUUCUUCCACCUCCAGUUCUGCUGUCAUUUCACACAUCUUACCUACUUCUAAAGAAAGAUGUUUCAUUUAGAUUCGUGUCGUGUCAAAAUUGAUUUCCUUCAUUUCGUAUAAAACAAUUUUGAUUUCACCUCUCUCUUUCCUCAAAACCACCACUGCAAAAGUGUUACCAUCAGAGUGACAUAGGGAGGGAGGGUUUUUAAUCAGGGCAUUCAAGCAAAAAGGAACAGUAAGUACUUUCUUGUUCACUGUAUACUGUAUAUCAGUUAAAACAACAACAACAACAACAACAAAAUCAAACUUUUGUCCCAGUUACCCAGAUUAGUGUUUUGGUCCUUCAAAUCUUAUGGUCUUAAGGGAGGUGUGUUCAUCAAAAGAGAGAGUGGUGUUGACUUCUCUUUCACUUACCCAGAGGCUGAGGACCUCCCAUGUGGGAUGAGCAGAAGCAGGAGGAGAUAAAGGAUUUGGAACUUUGAGCCCCUUCCUCAUGAUAUAUGCACUGUGCUAUUUCUUGUAAAUUUGUAUUGUUUUAAAAAUAAAUAAUAAGUGCUUUUUAAAAUAAAAAUGCAAAUGUGUGAACUAAGAAGGGUAUCCCUGUUCCUCACCCCUUCUUACUUCACACCCUGUGGGUAACCCCUGAUAACAAUUUGCUGUAACAUUCUAGCUAUCUCUAUUCAUCCAUCUAUCCACUUAAUAUAUUUUAACUCAUCCUCAUAAUAACUAUAUGAAGUGGUACUAUUAUUACCUCAUUUUCCAAAACAGAAAAUGAGGCACUGUAUAUGAGAUAGUUUCCCCAAAUCUGAAGCUACUAAGCUUCGGGGCUGGUAUUUUUAACUCAGGUGUAUUGACUCCAGUGUGUGUGCUCUUUACUUUUUAAAAUUAUCUUUGACAUUUAUUGUGAAAUUUUGUUCAUAAAGAUGCAUGACUGUUAUUUUUUGGUAUAUUACAGCUUCUCUCAAAAUUAAGUAUCCUCUAUAAGGCCUUUGCUAUUAAGCUGCUAUUAAGUUGCAAUAAAAGUUGCAUCUAAUAUUAAUAUGUCACAUUAUUUUCUUCUUGUUGAUAUUUGCCAUGGCACAUCUAUUUCCAUAAUGUAUCUUUGGCCUGUUAAAUAAAAUUUGGUCUUAUUGGUAUCUGUCAGCAUAAAGAUGGAUUUCCUUUGUACCCAUACCUAAGAGCUAUUUAGUUUUUAAUGUUUUUAUUUUCUUUUUAUCCCAGCCUAAGUGUCACUUAGUUGUUAAUGGAGGUGAAUUUCCUUUUUACUCCAGUCUGAGUCCUUAAUUGUUUAUACGGGUUUUGAUUCAUUCACACUUAUUGCCUUAUGAACUUAUUUUUGAACAUUCUUUAAACUUUUUUUUUUUAUUUUACAAGUCUUUCUUUUUUCUUUUUGCUUUCUUUCCUAUUUGAAUUGGACACGUUUUCUUUAUUCAAUUAUUUAAUUGUUUUGAAUUUGUGUAUUUUACUUUCUAGGAUUUACUUUAGUAAUACUUAUAAUUUAAAUGUGUUGAUUUAAAAAAUCAGUCUCUAAAGUUAACCAUGCUCUAUUUAAUUUCCUUCAUCAUAUUCUCAUCCCUCUUUCUACAGCUAUUGUGGUCAUCUUAUAGAGGUGGCACAGCUCUCCCAUCCAAAAUUUUGUGUGUGUAUAAAGACUGAUGAUACCACAUACCUACCAACAUGUUAUGAAAAGGUUUAUUAUUCACAUACUAAGGCUUUCUGGGGGAGAGCAGCAUGGACUUUUUAGCUGGUCCAAAUCUGGCUUGAGAGAGGAGGGAAAAGAGACAAUCUCAGCCUGUGACUGGGGUUGGGGCUGCAGUGAGGGUUCUUGCACACUGGCAGAGGCUUAUGUGGUUUGCACUUCAGCUAGCACCAAGGGAGGGACAAUCAGAGUUCUGUUUUCAGCCUGCUCAGAUGCUGGGAAGAAGGAAAAGGGGAAACGGUAGGAUUGUUGUAUCAAAAUAUCAGAAAUAGAGUCACACUCUUUAUUACAAUUCCUUCCAUGUUGAGAUCAUUCGGGAUUUUAGUUCCAGAUUGUUAAUUACUUUUUCAAUGUAUAUCAAAACAUUUUUUGAUUUAAAUAGGAGUGUGAUUGUUUUCUUUGUUCACUACCAUUUCUUAUGUCUAACAUUUUACUCUUUCUGGGGCUUAUGUUUUAUUUUGAAAGAACACAUUUUGCUUCCAAAGUGGUCUAGAAUAAUAGUUAUUUUAAUUUUGUCUUUCUACUGAAUGCUAGUUUCGCUAGAUACAGGACUUUUCUACAAAACAAUCUUCUCUCAAAACAUUAAUCCUAUAUUCUCUUCUACUAUCCACUUUUGCCAAUGAGAACUCAGACUCUAAAUCUGAUUUUGUUUUUAUUUUUAUCUCUCCCAAACCCAUCUCGAAUCGGUAUUCUUUUUAAAAUUGAUAAAUAAUAAUUGCAUAUAUUCAUAGGGUACAAUGUGCUGUUUCAAUACAUGUGUACCUUGUGGAAUGACCAUGUCAGACUAACAUAUCCAUUAUCUCACAUACUUAUAAUUUCUUUGUGGUGAGAAUAUUUCAAAUCCACUCUUUUAGUAAUUUUGAAAUGUAUACCACAUUAUUAUUAACUGUAGUUAAUAAUACAGUUGCACUGUAUUAUUGCAGUGCAAUAGAUCACCAGAACUUAGAACUCCUGUCUAACUGAAACUUUGUGCCCUUUGACCAACAUCUGCCCUUUCCCACUCCACAGCCCAAACCCCAGCUUCUUGUAACCACCAUUGUAUUCUCUACUUCUAUAAAUUUGACCUUUUAAGAUUUUGCAUAUAGGUGAGAUCAUGCAAUAUUUGUUCAGAAGCUUUAUUCUCAUUCUUGUGAUCUAAAGUUUCACUCUUUGUAUUUAGGUAUAUAAAAUAAUUUAUUUUAAUUUAUUCUGUUUGGCAUUCAAUGAGACCUUUUAGUCUGAAAUCUCAACUUUUUUUUUAAUUAUAAUCUUACUGUUCACUCAUUUGCUCUUUAUCCAUGUUGAUUCUGCUAUUCAGUUCAUAUACUGACAUUUUAAUUUUGAUAAUAAUACUUUUGAUUUUUGGGGUUGUUCAUUGUGACGGUUCAUACUGAGUGUCAACUUGCUUGGAAUGAAGGAUGCAAAAUAUUGUUCCUGGGUGUGUCUGUGAGGGUGUUGCCAAAGGAGAUUAACACUUGAGUCAGUGGAUUAGGAGAGGCAGACCCACCCUCAAUCUGGGACUCCAAGUUCUUCAGCUUUUGGACUCUUGUAGCUACACCAGUGGUUUGCCAGGGGCUCUCAGGCCUUCAGCCAGAGACUGAAGACUACACUGGCAGCUUCCCUACUUUUGAGGUUUUGGGUCUCAGACUGGCUUCCUUGCUCCUCAGCUUGCAGAGGGCCUAUUGUGGGACUUCAUCUUGUGAUUGUGUGAGUCAAUACUCCUUAAUAAACUUCCUUUCAUAUAUGAAUCUAUCCUAUUAGUUCUGUCCCUCUAUAGAACCCCAACUAAUAUAGAUUCUGGUACUGGGAGUGGGGUGCCACUGUAAAGAUACCUGAAAAUGUGGAAGCGACUUUGGAACUGGUAACAGGCAGAGAUUAGAACAGUUUGGAGCACUCAGAAGAGGACAGGAAGACGUGGGAAAGUUUGGAACUUCCUAGAGACUUGUUGAAUGGCUUUGACCAAAAUGCUGAUUGUGAUAUGGACAUUGAAGUCCAGGCUGAGGUGGUCUUAGAUGGAGAUGAGGAGCUUAUUGGUAACUGGAGUGAAGAUGACUCUUGUUAUGCUAUAGCAAAGAGACUGGUGGCAUUUUGCCCCUGCCCUAGAGAACUGUGGAACUGUGAGUCCAUUAAACCUAUUUCCUUUAUAAAUUACCGACCUCUGGUAUGUCUUUAUUAGCAGCAUGAGAACAGAAUAAUAAAGUAAAUAUUCACUUUUCACAUUUGUAACAUCACUUGCAAUCUCUCUAAUGAUAUCCGAUAUCUUUAUUUUAAAGUGCACCUCCAACUUUUUUCCUUAUUUUGUUAGCUUUAUUUCUUCAAGAGUUAGUUCUUCUAUUUAUCUCUCCUAUGUUGUUGGUUUUGUUUGUUUGUUUUUGACAGAGUCUCGCUUUGUCACCCAGGUUGGAGUGCAGUGGUGUGAUCUCAACUCACUGCAACCUCCGCCUCCCAGGUUCAAGCAAUCUUCAUGCCUCAGCCUCCUGAGUAGCUGAGACUACAGGCAUGCGACAACAAGCCCAGCUAAUUUUUGUAUUUUUAGUGGAGAUAGGGUUUCAUCAUGUUGCCCAGGCUGGUCUCUAACUUCUGAGCUCAAGCGAUCCGCCCGCCUCAGCCUCCCAAAGUGCUGGGAUUACAGGCAUAAUCCUGUUUAUUUUUCCUAUGUUAUUGGAUUUCCUUAAACGUUUGUGAAUUUUUCAUUGUCUGCUCAUUUUUCUGUUUGAAAAUACCUCUUUGCUUCCAUGAGGAUUCUGGCUUCAAUAUAUAAGCAUAGUUCCUCUGGUCUUUGGGUAUGGAUUGGAUGUGCUUUGAGACGGGGUAUACCUGUAACAUGUUUCAUGCAUGGAGGCUGCCCUAUUUCUCCUAAUUUGGCAGCUAUUAAAAACAUUGUCCUGACUCUUUGGCUCAAGCACACAUACCACCUGCACUUCUAGAGGAAGUCUAGAAAUGCCAUGUUGUCCCACAUGCAUUUUCUUGGCUAUUAACACUUAUAUUUAUCCCAUGGCAGCUCUUGCUCUUUAGUUUUCAUCGUAGCUGUAUUUCAGUUUGAAGGUAUAUUUGUAAACACAUAUUGUCUACUAUUUCUAGAGGUCUAGGUACAGACUCUCAUCUUGAACAAUCUCCGUUGCCCUACAUUUUAGCCUUUUACAUCUUGGGUUUCCAUGUAAGAUUUCAUUUGAAAACAAGUGAAUGAGCCUUUAAAGUGAGCCUUUAAAAAUCUCUUCGAACAUGACCCUAUAUCCAUUAAUAAUUUCACUUCAUGAGCAGCAUGCUGAUAACUUGUAUUAUGCUUUGUACACUGCUACAUUCUUAUUAGUGAUGAUACUAAUGCAUGUCAAGUCAACAGUUUCUGAGAGGCAGUUAUGAAGAAUAAAAUUUCCAAUUAAUACCAGAAGGGGAUAUAAGUAGACCUAAAGAUAAUGACUUGCAUUUAUAAAAGGAAUUUCUUCCUAUAAUGAAAACUGACAUUAGUUUUUUACAUACCUUGAUCUAGCAUUGUUAUAGCAAACUUAGAUGUGGUUAGGAUCCUGGGAAAACUCAAAGACUCUGAGUGCAAUCUUUCAAUCUUGUAAGAGUUUUAGUAAUAUGCUAUACUAAUUUACAUUAGGUAUAGCAGAUAAUCACAGAUAGUAUAAUGCAACCACUGGUAUGGCCAAGAUGUAGACCUUCCCUGGCAUGUGAGAAGCCAUGCUCUGUUCAAUUUGCAGUAUUCUGCAGUUCACUAUAAGCAACAUUGGGCAGGGAGGCGAUUUUCUAUUAUUUGACUGGGGUGGGUGGAAUAAUUUUAAUUGCUAAGAAAUUGCAUUUUCAUUGUAAAGCAAUUCAAGUUAUAGCAGAUUCAUAAUGCAGCUAUUGUAAAAAUGACAUUUCACUGACAUUUCUGUGAGAAGAACAUGGUGAUUUUGCAAAUGACAUGGUGAGGGCAUAGCAGUUACGCGAAUAACGGAUUUUCACAAUACGUGUGCUGGGAGCAUAAAUAAUGAUGAUGGCAAUAAUAUUAAUAAUAAUGGCAUUCCAUGAGAGAAAACCUCUUAUCUCUGCAAUUCCAAAGUUCUUUAACUCACACCUAUCCACUUUACACUCCACUCAAAUAAUUGGUCCUGACUUUUUUUGAUGGAAGGGAGCUGAGGAACCAAGUGGUUGCCCAACUCCAUAGCAGGUUAAUGGCAAACAUAGAAUCAAAACUCUAUUUUCUUUUAAAAAGUCUUUUGGGAUGACUCAUCAAAAUGAGUAUCAUGCAGGUACUGGAAAUGAUAUUGUUCUGAUUUUAUUGUAGAUGUUUUUCCAUCAGCUUUUUAGGUGGAUUGUAGGUGAGCAAUUAACAUCUUCUCUUUUCGUAUGCAUAAAAAAUGUAGCAUUGUUUUAUUUCAGGAUGAACUGAGCUGCUCAUUUCAAAUAUGUUUAUAAAAUACUCUAAUAAGUUAAACAGGUAAGCAGCUUUUGUUAGCCUGAGGGCAUAUUAUUCCCAUAGUGGAUAUGUCAUCACCAUUUUGUUUUCACAAUGCCAUUAUUGUGUCAUUAAUACAGAAAAUUCUCAUUUUUUCCUCUACAUAUAUUUUAAGAGAAAAAUAGGUUCUUACUAACUAUAAUGUCAGUGAUUGGAAAUAAGGGCUGGAAGGUAAGCAUGACCCAUGUGGUCAGGUUUCUGCCAUGAGGGUCACCAACAUAAUUUAUUAAACACACUAAAAGCUAGAGAAAAAAUUUACAUUUAUUUACAUACCCUUUGACCAAAUGCUCUAGCCACCUAUUUUGUUGAUUUUGUUCUCAGUGUAUAUGAAUGAAAUGGCUUACUCCAAUUUAAGAAUUUGGGGUCAAAGCCUAAUUUUCUGUUAUGGAUACCUUGUAUUUAGGUUGGAUGUAUUGUAUUUGGCCAAAUGCAGAACAUGUUAGAGCUGAGGCUCUCUCUCCCAGGCUUGAAAGAAAUAAAGUGUAGAAGCGAAAGCAAUAUUCAGAAAUUCCAAUUUGAGUCCAUUUGAAAGAUAGGUAUCUAUAACUAGCCAUUAACUUUGUUAUGCAUUAAGUUGGCAUUGACAGCAACAUUUCAAUGUUGCUUUAUCAUUAUGUCUUAAUUUUUUUUUUGAAAAGGUGAGUAGGCUUUGUAAAAUUUAGACGAAAAAUUAAGUAGGUGUUUCUUUGCUUUUCAAACAAACCACUAACUCUUUCAUAAAUCUGAUUUUUUUAACCAGGCAAAGAACAUAUAAUUUUAAGCUAAAUCCAAUCCUGAUUUAUUACUACACCAAUUACCAGAGAGGUACUGAAUUCUUCUGUUUCAUAGGCUAUGAUUUACAUUUUCUUUGGAUUACUUGGUCCCAUGAUGUAAAGCUUUCAACCAGAAUUCUAUGGUCUGACUUCAUUUCCACAGCUUGCAGGCUCCUGCAUUAUGCCAACACAGGGUACCCAUGGCUCUUGUCAGUGUUCACUGAGAUGACUAAAUGGCAAGGUGUGUUAAUACAUGUUAAAACUACAGUGCAAAUUUGCCACAAAACAUUGACAUUGUAACAUCUGCAAAGGAGUCAUCAUCAUGUCAAUAACAAGAGAGAGAAAGAAAACUGAAGCAAAAACCUGUGACUUCAGGACAACUGGAAAAGACAGGGACUUCAAACUAUAUAGUGAAAAAGAGCUAACCAAUUGGGUUGCCUGAUCUCAUGGAGACAAUCCUCACAGCUGAGACUAUUAACUUGUACUCAUAGAGGAUGCAGAUGCCAUCUUGGGUGUGGCGGGUGAGAUUGCUGGCAUAGCAUCUCCUUGCCACUAACCUUAUGUAGGGAUACUAUGGGGAAGACCCAGAUAUUCAAUCACAGUUUCUCUUGGAAGAGAUGUGCAAUACUAUCUAAUUAAGACAUGUUGUACCUGGUUCUGAGCAACCUCGGACUUUAGUAGAGACAACUCAUUUGCAACAGAGGAGAAGCAUGGGGGCCCCAAUGCCCACUUUUGAAUAUAGCACCUCCAAUUCUUAGCUAACACUUUGUUUGUAAAAGGGUUUUAGUGCUAAUGUUUGUAAAACUACAAUUUGAAUUCCAACCCUCAUUUCACAGAAACCUAGUCCAGAAAGGGAAAGUGAUUUACCCAAGGUCAAAGCCAUUUGGCUAGAUUCAGGUUAUUUAUAAUAUGAGAAUUUUAUUUUGUCUGAUUGAGAGAAAUAACAAAUGCUGAGUAGAAUUUGGUAGCUGGAGAACUAAUGGAUUGACUAGUAACAGAAAAGCUACACGUUUUGAUUGGUAUUCAUCUGCCACCACUCCUGCUUUACUGCUUCUUAGCUAGAAAAUGCAUUUUUUUUCUGCCAGGAAUCUUGGUUAGGCCACCUAUACAAAACAGAAAAUUCCUGUCAUUGUAACAGAUUUCUCAGUAUGAACUAGCAUUGUGGACAAUAGAACAAUUUUCCAUCUCUCAGAUUUUUCAUCAGAAUUGCUUAUUUUGGCACCAGAAAAAGAAUACUGGUCUUGGCAAAAUGUUGGCUGUGGUCCCAUAUCCCAUGAUGCAGACCCCAGAUCCUGAGCCAUCCUGGGUUCAAAGACCACUGGACAAAGAGCAGAAGUUCUCAUUCUGAGCUCCUAGGCCUGUGCCCAUGGGAUGGUGUAAUCUGUACCCUACCAAGCUACCCACAUCUCAUUCUUUUGAGCCCAGAUUUCUGAUGUGUCCACAGAAUGUCCACGACUUCAUUUUGUGCAAACCCCUCCCUCUGUUGUCCGGCUUCCUUUAUUCUUUCAGGGAUAGCAGCUGCUGCCAGCCAGCCCAUAGCACCAUUCUGAGAUGCCCCAGGGAACAGCUGGAACUCUCCCAAGGGCUGAUUUUACACCACUGAGUCUGGUCCCAAAUAUUUCCCAUUUCGUGAAAAUAUAUAUUAAGGAAAUGCCACCUAGAACCAGAAUUCCCAAAAUUGACCAAAUAGUGUUGUGAGAAUUGGCUGCAUUAUUUACUUUCAGUCUAUUAAAUCAAUUUAUGGGGGUGAGUAUUUUCUGUAUUAAUGUAUCAUGUUUUUCUGAAGCUCAAAUUGAGGUCACAGAUUAGAUUCACUCACUGAAAAAUAUAGCUCUCUUGUGUAGGAAGAGGAAAUAUUCUUGCUUCUCUUUGGAUUCUAAAUUAUUUUUCUCUACCUAACCCUCCCUAGCACUCCUCCACCUCCCACCUUUUAAAGCUUAGAGAUCUAGAGCCGGAGGUUUAAAUAAAAGUGCUACGCCUUUAAAACCAGUGAAAGCAAAUGGAGUUUAAUAAUCCAACAGUAUCUUGGUCCAUCAUAAUAUUUAAUCUGCAUUAUAUCUCACUUCCUAAUCGCUACUUCCAUUCCAAUUGUGAGCAGAGGGUGGGCGAAUGGGGCAUUUCAGAUAAGUGCCAGUAAAACAAGUUUGUCUUACAGCUGGUGAGCCCCAAGUACAUGUACACAGUGCCUUAUGGCUGUAUUCAAUCAGAUGAUCCCAUAAACUAAAAAUAAUCACCUCUAAUACUAAUACCUCUCCUUCAUUGUUGCUGGUCGCUAUGGUGCUGCAUUCGACUUUGAAGAAUUCACCGCCAUUAUUACCCUCAGUGUCUCUCUCUCUGAAAUGUGAUCUAAUUGCAGAAUCCACACCUGUUCCACAGUUCAAUAGAAUUCAGAUUUGAUGGAGGCAGACUUUCAAAUAACACACACACAUAUGCACACACGCACACACACUUGUGCACACACACAUAGACAAUUACCCAGGAGUUCAGUUGGGGCCAAAAAUAAAUAAAUUAAUAAAGAGGGUGAGUUUAUCAGAACAUAAUAUUAUGGAGAGGAGGAGGGAAAAAAAAGGCUGUGUUUUGUGGUCACUGGAAGAUUGCUGAUGGGUGCAUAAAUAAGGCAUGCUGGAACAUCUGUUCUUUGUUGUGCAUUCAGCUUUUUAAUGUGUUCAAAGAGCAGCUCUGACGCAUCGCUGACUACCACUCCCCAUCCGAGCAACAUUUUACCAGAAAAUAAUAAACCUUCCUGGUGGGGUGCAGGGAGCCAAGGCAUUCGGGCAAUGCCAUUAAUUUGGAAAUAUCUCUUUUUCUGGGAUUUUAAAAUCUCUCUCUUUUUGAACAUUGCACAAAUUUGGGACCCAGCCUAGCAUCCCUAUCAGCCUAAACAUGAAAUCAGUCUGAAUAUCUAUUCAACCUUUUUUUUUUAAGUCAGCAAAGGAAGGGAGAGAGCAGUGAAGUCAAAGUUUAUACACAUUUUCCCCUCUGCUUUUAAUUCUAUUACUGUUAACGCUAAUCUAUUGGGAUUAUUUUUAACAUGUUCCAGUAUUUAUUUGUACUGAUAAAAUUCAAAGGCAGCUGAGGCCCCUGACAGUUGAACAAUAUUGGCUGGUUAUUUUGAUACAGUGUGGUAGGCAGCAAAAGAUUAAAAAACGGAGCAUCCUAAACUGAGGAAAACCAGCUUGAAUUCUAAAAUAAAAUUUUAGCAGCAUGGAUUUCUCUUGCCAUAGGCUAUGAGGCUACUAUGAAUUUCAGAUGCAUUUCCUGAGCUGUCAAUGAGGUGGAAAGAUGAGAUUGGCGUUACGAAGAUUUGUUGCAGCUCCAUUCAGUGUAAUUGCAAUGGAAGGUAUAGAGACAUUAAACCACCACCCAAGAAGAGCUGUUUAUGUACAUACAGUAUAGAAAUAGCUCACAAGACAAUGAUAGGACCAGGAUGGGAAUUUCUUUAUGUCACUUUAUUUGUCUUUUACAUCUCCCUCCUUUUUUAGCUCACAGCUCAGAAGCACUGCAAUACCAAUUAGCUGCUGGAGGUUGCUUCCAUAAUGAGCUUGACUAUGUCUUAUGAAAGAGAGACAGGAUCUUUUGGGUUACAGGGCUGUUAUGUAAAUUCUCUCUUUCCAACAUUCUUUACAAUCUUGGUGUCUAGACUCUGGUCUUCAUGUUGCUGUCUCAGCCAGCCCUUUCCCACAGAAGAGUUACCAUUUGAUCUAUGUCAAGAAGUGGGUAGGUCACCAGCAGAGUCUGCUUCUGGGAAGCAUUUUGGGUAUAGUGGUUCACCCAGAGCCUAUGUCUGUGAUAGCAGAAGAGAGAUAUUUGUGGCUAGGUAAGUGACUCUUUUAAAAAAAAUCCUUUUGUUGGCCUUGCAUGGCCCUCUUUUUAGAUAAUUUGGGAGUAUUUACAAUGUUUAGUAUCAAGAUAAUAUAAAGAUAUGGGUUUUGUCACAGACUGACCCUAAUGGUGUUAUAUUUGAAUGUAUCUAUGCUGCUUAAAAAUCCCACAGAAUGACAACUCUAUAAAUGGUCAACUAAAGUGAACAUUUUCAAGGCAGUGCCUUCCUCUGUACCUUUAAUACCAUCAGCAUGAAAGUGAGUAAUGAUUUAUGGACAACUGUAGAAAAGUAAAGAAAAUUCAAUUACCUGACAAUUGGGAGGUACGUUUUAUGGAUACGUGGUUAGGAUAUAUUAUACAUAAGCUUACUGCAUAUAACAAUUGUUCAUUUAAUGAAUUUUAACUAUAACCACACUUGAAAACUUAUGCUAUUUAUCAAACAAUUUUUUUUGUAUAAUGACAUUUAAUUCCCCAAAUCCACUAGGUAACACAUACCAUAAGAAAUCAUUUUUCACAUUAUUAUUUCAGGCAAGGACAUACUUCUAAUUUACUCAACACAAUAGCUUCUAAUCAAAGAAUAUCAUGUGAAACAAAUUUGAAUUUCAUGUCAUGCUUGAAUGAGUCCCCAGGUUUUGCAUUGUAUAUGUAAGCCAAGUAAAAGGGAGGAAGAUGUAGCAGCAUUUCCAUGAUGCUAUUUCUGUGUAUUUCAAAAGUCAACUUUACCUUUUUUGGUCAAAGCUUUAAAGAAAAAGACAAGGCUGUAUGAUUCUAAUAUUGAUUGUGCACAUGAAAAUCAGUCACCUGCCUUUCCACUACCUUCCAAAAAAGGCUCCACUGUAGAGCUGAUGUGGUGAUACACAGACUAGGUUUCCUUUUAGUACCAAAGGAUUAUUACUCAGUAUUUAGAAGUACAAUCCAUUGACAGCUUUCAAGGUGCAGUCCUCUCUGGGAAUUGCCCUAAGUUUAAGAGAACUACCGUGGCAUUUUCAGGGGGCAGCCCGAAUCCCACAACUGGUUAAAGUGAGCCUGUAAAAUUCUGGCUUCUUCAUUUCAAUUCAGAACAAUUUGGAAAGGCUGCCCCAACGUCAGAGCUAUGAAUGGAGUUGGCUGAGGACUUUGUUGAGACCACUCUGCCCAAUCUUGCUUUCUUUUCUUCCAUUUCACAGUAUACUGAUCUUGAGGCCACUCCUUAACACACUUUUGGCAUGCUAAUCUCUGUUUCAGGGGAUGCUACCUCUAACAACUUUACAUCUCUUUCCAAUAACUGCCACUGAUUAUCACCCUUGAUGAGUACAAUAAACCUUCAUUAUCUUUAUAUUGUGUACAAGCUAUGUUUGUUUACUAUUAUAUUGUUACUUAUAUGAACUUGUUCUCAUUGUUUGAUUGAUAGAUUUUUCAAUCUGUGAAAUUAUUUGAAUGCAUUGGGUUGGGAUGGAAUGCACCAUAAUUUUCCUCAUUAAAAUUCAUAAGAGUAUUAUUUUACUUAAACACAGCAGCAAGACUUUAGGAAAAGUUAAAGUUGUUAAAUGAGGUAUAGAUUCUAUUAGAGGUUGUAUCAGUCAGAGUGCUCUCACCUGCAUUUAACAGAAGCUCCAACCCACUGUGACUUAAAAAAUAAGGAAAAAAUAUUCUCUCGGUUGGUAGGAAGUUCAAAGGUAAGAAAUUUCCAGAGCUUAAUAAUGUAAGAAUUCAAUAAUGUGAUUAGGGACCUAGCUUCCUUCCAUCUUUCCAUUCUUUCAUCCUCAAUAUAUCAGCUACACUUCACGGUCACAAGGUGGUGGCCAUCACAAUAGGCAACAACCCUGAAAGGCUAGAAGAGGGAAAAGGAAUGUGACCCUUCCUUGGGUCCAUCUCUGAGAACAAGAAAGUCUUCUCCUAAAGCUCUCUUAUUAGACUUCACUCAUGUGUCUCUGGCAAGAACUUUUGUCAAGCGUUUAUUCUUAAACUAAUAACUGACAACAGGAAUAAAAUUACCAUGAUUGUCUUAAAUGGAUCAGUAUUCAUCUUUUGGGCCUGGGGUUGUUCAUUCCAUUGGACAGCCUUCUGAAGCACAAGGAUAUCUAGUACUUGAAUAGAAGAGGGAUUCUGUUAUGGAGGAAAAAAGAAAGAAUGGCUGCCAUGUAGGUGAGCAGUGAUGUUAGAAAAGCCUAUAAACUUACUUGCUAAGAAUUCCUGCCCUUGUUCUUGACUUACAGGUCUCACUCAUAGCUUAAAUCUAAGAAGCAUGAUGUAGCAAUGGCUUUAGGAGUAAAAUUAUUUUAAACAUUAUUUAAUAAUGAAUAUUUUGACAUAUGCCUUGUGUAUUGAAUAAAUGUAUGGAUAUAUAUAUAUGCAUACAUAACCAUAUACCAUAGUCAUGAAUGUGUGUGUUGAGGACUUUUCAGGAUGCAUAAUAGUUGAAUUAAAAAAUUAAAAAUUUCAUUUUUAUUAUUUAUAUAAAUUGUUUCCCCACUUUAUUAAAUUCAAGCAAGUCACUUUUAUUAUGUUGGCAUAGUUUAUAUGCAGGACUAAAUAUCUGUUUACUAUAUAUAAAAUACAUAUUCUUAUUAUAAAAUAAUUCAUUCUAAAUGUAGAAAUCUUUGAAUGUCUAAAGGAAACUCUUUUUUGUCUGGUAAGUCUAUUAUGUUUUCAUGCAGCAUAUAUAGCCAGUGGUUUAUGGCUCUCUGAGUUGUGGUAUAAUGUGAUAUAUAUCAUUUUAUUAUGUUUUAAAACUUAACAAUAUACCAUAAUUAGUUCAAGUGAAUAAGUGAGGUUUCACCAUAUGAUUUAGAAUGGCUGCAUAGUAUUCCACUAUAUGGAAGUAACAAUCAAGUAAUUAACCUAUUAUUGUUUAGCAUUUAGAUUUAAAAAAAUUUUUAUUUUUAGCUAUUGUAAAGGAGUUAUAAGUGCAUUUGGGUAAAUACACUUAGUCAAAGCUUAGAUAAUUUCUUUAAGAUGAAUUUCUUGACAAGAAAUUGCUAGAUCAAAGGACACACAUGUCUUAAAGAAAAUUGAUUCAAAUUUCAUGUAAUAAAAUAUUUCUGAAAAAUU